rnacentral:rRNA from 1 species
CAGUAGCCGCGGGAAUACGAAGGGGGCUAGCGUUACUCGGAAUUACUGGGCGUAAAGGGCGCGUAGGCGGCACGAUUAGUCAGGCGUGAAAUUCCUGGGCUCAACCUGGGGACUGCGCUUGAUACGGUCGAGCUAGAGGAUGGAAGAGGGUUGUGGAAUUCCCAGUGUAGCAGUGAAAUGCGUAGAGAUCGGAAGGAACAUCUGUGGCGAAGGCGGCCCCCUGGACAAAGACUGACGCUCAGGUGCGAAAGCGUGGGGAGCAAACAGGAUUAGAGACCCCAGUAGUCCCUGUCUCUUAUAC